rnacentral:rRNA from 1 species
AGAGUUUGAUCCUGGCUCAGGAUGAACGCUGGCGGCGUGCCUAACACAUACAAGUCGAGCGAAGCGCCUGGAAGUUUUCGGACGGAAGGGUGACUGAGCGGCGGACGGGUGAGUAACGCGUGGGUAACCUGCCUCAUACAGGGGAAUAACAGUUAGAAAUGACUGCUAAUGCCGCAUAAGCGCACGGGACCGCAUGGUUUUGUGUGAAAAACUGAGGUGGUAUGAGAUGGACCCGCGUCUGAUUAGCUGGUUGGCAGGGUAACGGCCUACCAAGGCGACGAUCAGUAGCCGGCCUGAGAGGGUGAUCGGCCACAUUGGGACUGAGACACGGCCCAAACUCCUACGGGAGGCAGCAGUGGGGAAUAUUGGGCAAUGGGCGGAAGCCUGACCCAGCAACGCCGCGUGGAGGAAGAAGGUUUUCGGAUCGUAAACUCCUGUCCUCAGGGAAGGGCAGAAGACGGUACCUGAGGAGGAAGCCCCGGCUAACUACGUGCCAGCAGCCGCGGUAAUACGUAGGGGGCAAGCGUUGUCCGGAAUGAUUGGGCGUAAAGGGCGCGUAGGCGGCCCGGUAAGUCUGGAGUGAAAGUCCUGCUUUUAAGGUGGGAAUUGCUCUGGAUACUGUCGGGCUUGAGUGCAGGAGAGGUAAGUGGAAUUCCCAGUGUAGCGGUGAAAUGCGUAGAGAUUGGGAGGAACACCAGUGGCGAAGGCGACUUACUGGACUGUAACUGACGCUGAGGCGCGAAAGUGUGGGGAGCAAACAGGAUUAGAUACCCUGGUAGUCCACACUGUAAACGAUGAAUGCUAGGGGUAGGGGG